AAUGUUGGCAAGAGGCGAUGAGAUAUUUGGUGCGCUUCCAAACAGGUUCUAGCGUUGAAACGACGGACGAUGACAAGAAGAGAAAGAGAAUCUCAAAUUCCAAGUACAGACCCCAGGCCUCUUCUGAUGAAGAGGAGUCUAGUCUUCCAGAUGCACCAGCAGUGCUGUCGUUUGGACAACCUCUUUUGAGCUUUGAAAACAUUGUUCCUGGUAACAAGGUUUCAGUGCUGCCCGAUGCUCCAGAAGUUGCAUCGAUUCCAGAAAACCAGGAAAAUGUUGUGCCAUCUGUAGACUUCAGAGGUGAACCAGGUUUCUCCCCAGAAAUUCAGACUCCACUUCACAGAGCCAAGAGUUUGAGUACAAGACACUUGACUGGUUACUCGCCGCAGCAGUUUCUGGAUGAAAGGUGUCGAGCUCGUCAAGUACUAAGCUUUACACCCCCAGCAGCAAAUUUACCCUGGCAGCAUAUGGGUGAAAACGCUGGAGGAGAAAGUCAUCGCUCUGUAAUUGGCCCUUGGACUCCCCUGGCAUCUCGUGUACAGCAUGAAGUUUUCAGCUAUGAAGAUUUCCAGAGACUCCAGAAUGAAAAACAAGCCGUGAUGGAGGAGAACCAAGCCCUUAGGGAGGAGAACCAAGCUCUGAGGGAGGAGAACCAAGCUCUGAGGGAGGAGAACCAAGCUCUGAGGGAAAGCACUGCACGAGCAGCUUCGGAUGACAGCGGCUCACUUCAAGAGCAGGUGAAGCAAGUUGGGACAAUGUUGAAGACGUUUGCUCGCACUGGGCAAACAGGUGCAGAUCAGACCUUAAUGCUGCGACGUCUUGGAGAGUUUGGCGUGAAGGCGGAAAAAGGCGCCGCACAGCUGAGAGGGACCCACAGCCGACCCCUUAAACCUAGGCUGACUACUGACAUCCCAGCAUCACUGACAACUGGAACCCUUUCUUUAUCCUGCAGUCAGUAA
rnacentral:lncRNA from 1 species